AUCCUUUCGUACUAAGCUGACAUAAAAAAACCAGAAGAUAGAAACCAACCUGGCUUACGCCGGUCUGAACUCAGAUCAUGUAAAAUAUUACGGGUCGAACAGACCCUAAAAUGAAGCUACUGCACCACAUCUAAAUUUUAGUCCAACAUCGAGGUCGCAAACCUUUUUGUCGAUUAGAACUCUCAAAAAAGAUUACGCUGUUAUCCCUAAGGUAAUUUUUUCUUAUUUUCUUUUUUAAAGGAUCAAAAAAUACAUUCAUAAAAGUUUAUAAAAAAAAGAGUUUUUCUUAUCUUAAUGUCGCCCCAACAAAUUACAGCCAAAAAUCAAAUCGAUAAAUACCUAAUACAAAAUGAAAAAUUACUGUAUAAAACUCUAUAGGGUCUUCUCGUCUUCCAGGAACAUUUCAGUUUUUUCACUGAAAAAAUAAAUUCUAUAUUUGUAGCAAAAAAAGUAAAUUUCUCGUUUAGCCAUUCAUACCAGUCCUCAAUU
rnacentral:rRNA from 1 species